rnacentral:rRNA from 1 species
UACAGAGGGUGCGAGCGUUACUCGGAAUUACUGGGCGUAAAGCGUGCGCAGAUGGUUACGUAAGUCGGGUGUGAAAGCCCCGGGCUCAACCUGGGAAUUGCAUUCGAGACUGCGUAGCUAGGGUGCGGAAGAGGGAAGCGGAAUUUCCGGUGUAGAGGUGAAAUUCGUAGAUAUUCGCAAGAACACCAGUGGCGAAGGCGGCUCACUGGCCCGAUACUGACGCUGAGGCACGAAAGCGUGGGGAGCAAACAGG